CAGAAUAUAGCUAAGAUAGGAAAGCGCCCCCCUUACACUGAGGAGUCACCCGUGCAAAUCGAGUUGUUCUGA
rnacentral:tRNA from 1 species